GACGAACGCUGGCGGCGUGCUUAACACAUGCAAGUCGAACGGAAACGCCCUUCUUUUUUGUUGUGCCCGCGUGCCGAACGCGUUAGUAUCACGUUUGUAUCCUGCCCUUCUCUUUGGGAUACCUUCACGCAACUGUGCCUACUCCCGGAUCGUAUCCCCUCUUCCGUUGUGGGCGUUGGAACUUCUCGGCGGUUGCGGAUGGACUCGCGGCUUAUCAGCUUGUUGGUGGGCUAGUUGCUUACCAAGGCUUUGACGGAUAGCUGGCCUGAGAGGGUGGCCGGCCACAAUGGGACUGAGAGACGGCGCAGACGCCAACGGGAGGCAGCAGUGGGGAAUAUGGCACAAUGGGCGGAAGUGAGAUACGAAAACGCAGAGGGCGGGAAGAAGGUCUGCGGGGUAAAAAACGCAGUCGGCUGUGACGAAGCGGGGGUGACGGUAACGGAUAAAGAAGCACCGGCUAACUACGUG
rnacentral:rRNA from 1 species